ACAUCAUUUUCACGUGAGUGGUUGUGGAGUCCAUCCCAUUGCUGCCAUCUUUGCAUCUGCUAUUUUUACACCCCUAGAUCAUCUGGGAAUGCUGACACUACUAAGGUUCACACCAAGGCCCCCAGUUUGAAAAAUGCGUGUGUGCUCCUGCACCUAAUGUAUGUGCAUAUUCAGUGUGACUGCAUAUGGAAAUGGAGCAUCCAUGCCAAGAGUUUUCCAGCCAAGAGGAUUUUUGCAUGUGUCUGCCUUAGAAAGGCACCGGAAGAAGGGAAGGAAAAUUAGGUUAUCCCAUAAAAUAAUGUACUACUAUUUGGUAAGGGCACAGGAAUAGAGAAUGAAGCAAUGGUUUCAUAUUGGGAGUAGAAGCUGCAUGAAGUAAUCAGCUGAACAUUUACUUCAUUCAUCAGUGCAAAGCAAAUGCUGGAUUGUGCAGAAGUCAAUGAAGAAUUUCCACGGUUUUGCUGCGGGCUUUGCUGAAUGACACCGUUUGUCCACAGAAGUGCUCUGAACCUCAGACUCACAGCCACAAUGGUGCACCUGGAGCUCUGCACUUGGAAUCCAGAGAGGUGAGAAAGGCAUCUCCAAUGUCCUGGGGGCAGGGGACCUGUGGCUUUGCACCUAGAUGGUGAGCUCUGCACUCUUCAUCUGUAUUUUGUAACACUCUCAAGAUCUUGAAGUUAAUCUAGGAUUAGCAAAAAAAUCCUAAAUCAAGUAAUGCACGUGUUCUUUUUGCUUAGAAGUUAGAAACUAUGGUUUAUUCUAAGUAGAAAUCUGUUGCUUGAAUAUGUAAGGAUGUAAAUUGAGUUUGUGAGAGUUUUCAAAGGGACAAGGUGCUAGGAGUAAAUUACUAGUUAAUCCUAAUGGUUGUUGUUUGUCCAGUGUAAUUAUGAUAUUGUAAAUGAGUGCAAGGCUUCAAAAAGGAGCCAGGGAAGCUCCCUCUGCCCAGGAGCUGCAGGUUUCUCUGCAGAUACCCAGUGCCAUGAAGCGUGUGGAGCUUGCCUGGUGCCUGCUCCAUCUCCUGAGUGAGGGCCAUGGGGAGAGGGAAGCCAACACAAACUGUGCUCCAGCAGGACUGGGCUCUCAGCGUGUCUCUAAGUCCAGCUGGCAGCAGCUGAAGCUCCUUGUGGGGCUCUGGCACUCACCAGCUGUGCUGGGCACUGCCACAGGGCAGGGAUUCAGGGAUGGUCAUGCUCUCUUUAGCUCUUAGCUCACACUCUUGACCCAGUGCCUGGGCCACCUUGGUGAGCUUGCAGAGCAUUUGCUGGUCCUUUCCAAUCAUGCUCCCCUGUGCUUGGUACACUGCCAUGAGGGCUAACACUUUCUGGUUUUGCUGGAUUGGCUGACUGCAUGCCCACAAAUUUCACCAGGGUUUUCUCUAGUUAAUAGAUGCCCUAUUGCCAUUACUAUCAUGUGCAGUUGCUGUAGGGUGUCAGGUAACAGUUAUGUGGGAUUUGGGGUUCCUUUCAGUUUCCAUUGCCAAGUCUCGGUUCCUUGCUUCUUGACAGAGUUGAUUUUUAACCUUAAAUUUUAGAAAAUACUUUUUUAUUAGCUAUGUGGCUUUAUCACACAGGAAAAUAAGUGCAAAUCUAAUUCUAUUUCUGACUGAAAUCUAUCCACCUAUCUAUCCAUCCAUGAUCUUCUUUUUCAUUUUUUCUGUCUACCUGUUUAUCUAUCUUUCUAAAUAUGUGCAUAAAGUAAUGCCUGUUCACUAGGGCAAUUGUGGUCUUAUAAUUUAAUUACAACCUGAAGUAUCUGGUGUUCUAACUUGCUGUCCCAUCCUGCAUCAAGGAGAGCUAUAAGACUUAGAGAAAGAUAAAACACCUUCAUGUAGUUUUUACCUGCUAAUAGCAGUUCUGUCAUUGCAAGAUCUGGCAAGACAGUCAAACACCAUGUUUUCCCAAGGGUAUGCAGGGAAGGCAGAGCUGAGAGAGAGAUUAACAAGUUUUCUGUGGAAGGAGGGUACAUCUGCAAGGGUGAGGAGAGCCUUCACUGAUGUGCCACUUGUAAAUGCACGUGAACUCUGUAAUAGGUGCGGUGCUUUUGCUCAACAGCUGCAAUCUUUUCAUUGUAGCUCUUUUGUUGAAUUCAGAUAAAAGCACUUCAUCAUCAACAAAUCUAAUAUCUGUUCUUGUCCCACUUGAAAGGGUCAAAUGAAAUUUCCCACCAGAGAACAAAAAACCCCUGAAGCUCCCCAGUGGGUUUGGGUGGCAGUGUGCCAAGAGAGGGAAGGGGAGGAGGUGGUGC